rnacentral:misc_RNA from 1 species
CUGAUACAAAUUGUUAGAAGUUUAAUAAAUUAUAAAAUUUACCAUUGAAACUCAACAUACUUUGUAGGGAAUGUCGACACCAUAUUUUGGCCGGUCCCCGAAGCCAAUAAACUUUGAAACCGAUCUCUCCUUGCCAGACAAGCACAUUUCCGAUCUCCCUUCAAAAAGAAUCGAAUCCAUACUAAGUCCCCAUAUCAGUUAAAGCCUCACCGGUCUCUCAAAUCAAUUAUCGAGUUCUUUGGCCAAGACAAUUACAUUCCCGAUCUUUCUUGUCAAACGAAAUUGAACCAAUACUAGACCUUC